GAUGAACGCUAGCGAUAGGCUUAACACAUGCAAGUCGAGGGGCAGCAUGGUCUUAGCUUGCUAAGACUGAUGGCGACCGGCGCACGGGUGCGUAACGCGUAUGCAACUUGCCUCACAGAGGGGGAUAACCCGUCGAAAGACGGACUAAUACCGCGUACACUUGGGAUAGGGCAUCCUGACCCAAGGAAAUGAAAUUCGCUGUGAGAUAGGCAUGCGUCCCAUUAGCUAGUUGGUGAGGUAACGGCUCACCAAGGCGACGAUGGGUAGGGGAACUGAGAGGUUGAACCCCCACAGUGGUACUGAGACACGGACCAGACUCCUACGGGAGGCAGCAGUGAGGAAUAUUGGUCAAUGGACGAGAGCCUGAACCAGCCAAGUCGCGUGAAGGAAGACUGUCUUAUGGAUUGUAAACUUCUUUUAUAAGGGAAUAACAAGAGUCACGUGUGGCUCCCUGCAUGUACCGUAUGAAUAAGCAUCGGCUAACUCCGUG
rnacentral:rRNA from 1 species